CAUGACCUGAGCCGAAACCAAAAGUCAAAUGCUCAACUAACUGAGCCACCCAGGUGCCCCUGAAUUGUAUACUUUAAAUAGGUGACUGUUCUGGUAUAGGCGUCACGUCUGUCUCGACAAAGCUAUUAACAAAAGGUUAUAUCUUGCUUAUACUCGCACUGAUGGUGUGAGAAUGUCUGUUUUCCCAAUUUCAUCAACACUCAGUUCUAGACAUUUUUGCUUCUCUGUGACAUGAAAAAUAGCAUCCUAUUGUUUUUAUUUAUUUAUGUAUUUAUUUUAUUUUAUUAUUUACUAUUUACAUUUAUUAUAAAUGAGAAUGAACAUAUUUUUUGUCUGUUUUAAUUUCACUUUUGCGAGAUGUCUUUUCUUAGAGUUUUCCAUAUUUUCAUUGAAUUGUUUGUCUUCCUUGUGAUUCCUGGACAAUUUAUAUAAUAUGCUAAAGAAUUCCGGUCUUUGUCAUUUAUCUUGUGAGCAUCUUUCUCUAUAUCUUUUGAUUUAUUUCUGGUGUUCUUUUUAGUGUGUAGAAGUUUUCUUUUAAAAGCUGGAUCUGUCCAUCUUUUCUCUGUGGCUUCUGGUUUUUGUACCAGACCCAGAAAAGCAUUUCCUCUUCCGAGAUUAGGGGGAAAACAACAACAACAACAAAAACUCAUAUUUUUGUCUCUUUUUAAAUCUUAUUUUUAUAUGUAAAUCUCAGAUCUAUUUCAGAGGCUUUUGUUGUGAGUUUUGAUGACGAGUAGUGCAUGCUGUCAUAAAAUCACGCCCGGGUAAAAGGUCCAUUCCAAGUUCAAGAGAGACUAACAGAACUUACUGUGACAGAGCAUGAAAAGUUUCAGAUUCCACAAUGCAAGUAAUUCUAUAAACCUAGCACUUGUGAGUGUUGGUCUACUUCAGAAGACUGUCUAUAAUUAUCUGAAAAGGGCACCAAAAUAUUUUUUCCCUCUACAGCUACAGCCACAUUUAUGUAAGGAAGCAUUUGAGGAAGAGCAAAUUCCAACUUAUACAAAUUCUUUGAGACAGUAUAGAAGGAAGGAAUACUUCUCAAUUCAUUUUAUGAGACGGACUCUGACACCAAAACCAAAAAGGACAUUUCAAGAAAAAAAAAUUAAAUCCCAGUAAAAAUAAAAAUUUAAUAACAAAGUUCAUUAUCAAUACACUGAGAAAAGACAAUAAAUGAUGCUGGUACAAUCUUUCAUUUAUAGGGAAGAAAAUAAAACUGGGUCCUUGUCCUGUAAGAGCAAAAAGAAACAAAAACCAACUCUGGAUGUACUAAACAUUUUGUAAAUGCCCAGACAAAAAGCCUUAAAACAACAGAAAUCUUGCAAAAAAAAAAAAAAAAAAAUCUGGGAAUCCUAAGAUCUUUCUAACCUAAUCCAGAGCGUAUAAAAGAAAGGAUAGUAGUAUUUGACUUGAGUGAAGUAAAAGGGUUUGUGUGGUAAAAAAAAAAAGCCCA